CAGGGUCACAACAGCUAGGAGUGUUACGUGUCUGAGGCCAAAUUUGAACUUGAGGACUGGUGUUCUAUUCACUAUGCCACCUAGCUGUCCCCAUGUAUGGGGUUUUUUAAAACAUAUUCACAGAUCUGAAGUCAAAGACCCCAAGAAUAACAUAUUAAGUCCUCUGCUUGACAUUUCAAGCCCUUUCCAAUGUUUCCCCCACAACUAACUUUUCUAUGUCUUAUAUUUAAUAGCUUACUUUCCUACUGCUUUCACUCCAGUGAAAUGGUUUCCUAAACAUGACAUCUAUAUUCCACCCUAGAAUCGGUAGACAUAGUCCCCUAUGGCUGCUAUCCCCUCUUUCCUUAGUUUUGCUAUUUAGAAUUCCUAAAUUGCAUCAAAACCUUGUUGGCAGCCAGGGCAGACUAGGAUCUAAGAACUUGCCUGAUCCAUCCAACUGAUCCUCUUGACUUCUUGGUAGAACUUUCUGUUAUUUUCCUUAUAUUGUGUUUUUAUUUACCUGAGCACAUGUUAUUCAUCCCCAGCAGCAAAAUGGCAGCUCCUCCAAAGACAAACAAGCCUGAACUUCCUGGCCUAUCAACGUACACUGUUCUUAGUAGGGACUUGAUUAUCAACUUUAACUGAGAGCCAUUGCCAUCAUUCAAGCUUCCCCACUUCUGACCUGCCUUAUAGUGAAGACUUCUGAAAAGAGCUGCCUGCUUUAAUUCUCUCCUCAUUCAAAUCCAAUAAUCACACAUCCACCAAUGGGAUCUGGUAAAAUGCACUUAUGAUAGUAUCAUGUCCUUUCUCAAUAAACAUAUCUUUCCAUUACCGCCAAGAUCAAA